GUGCCAGCCGCUGCGGUAAUACGAAGGGGGCUAGCGUUGUUCGGAAUUACUGGGCGUAAAGCGCACGUAGGCGGAUUGUUUAGUGAGUGGUGAAAUCCCAGGGCUCAACCCUGGAACUGCCUCUCAUACUGGCAAUCUCGAGUCCGGAAGAGGUGAGUGGAAUUCCGAGUGUAGAGGUGAAAUUCGUAGAUAUUCGGAGGAACACCAGUGGCGAAGGCGGCUCACUGGUCCGGUACUGACGCU
rnacentral:rRNA from 1 species